GGCUAAUAGAAGAUCAUCAUCCGUACACCACCUUCCCUCUCAUCGGCUAUGAUGCCCCAUCCAUGGAUGUGAUUGCUGGCCGAUCGAAGCAAGCACAGAAGAAGGUCACCAAAAAGACCAGUCGCCGAGUCCGGGCCCGUAUAGAAUCGGCAGAUCCUCCCACGCUCGCGUCGGCAGAAACUUCGGUCGCACCACCUCCUCCAGCUGUCAAAGACAUUGACACUCAAG
rnacentral:lncRNA from 1 species